CCUACGGGUGGCAGCAGUGAGGAAUAUUGGUCAAUGGACGAGAGUCUGAACCAGCCAAGUAGCGUGAAGGAUGACUGCCCUAUGGGUUGUAAACUUCUUUUAUAUGGGAAUAAAACGUUCCACGUGUGGGAUUUUGUAUGUACCAUAUGAAUAAGGAUCGGCUAACUCCGUGCCAGCAGCCGCGGUCAUACGGAGGAUCCGAGCGUUAUCCGGAUUUAUUGGGUUUAAAGGGGGCGUAGGUGGAUUGUUAAGUCAGUUGUGAAAGUUUGCGGCUCAACCGUAAAAUUGCAGUUGAAACUGGCAGUCUUGAGUACAGUAGAGGUGGGCGGAAUUCGUGGUGUAGCGGUGAAAUGCUUAGAUAUCACGAAGAACUCCGAUUGCGAAGGCAGUUCACUGGACUGCAACUGACACUGAGGCUCGAAAGUGUGGGUAUCAAACAGGAUUAGAUACCCCUGUAGUC
rnacentral:rRNA from 1 species